rnacentral:rRNA from 1 species
ACUUAAAUUGAAGAGUUUGAUCAUGGCUCAGAUUGAACGCUGGCGGCAGGCCUAACACAUGCAAGUCGAGCGGUAGCACAGAGAGCUUGCUCUCGGGUGACGAGCGGCGGACGGGUGAGUAAUGUCUGGGAAACUGCCUGAUGGAGGGGGAUAACUACUGGAAACGGUAGCUAAUACCGCAUAACGUCGCAAGACCAAAGUGGGGGACCUUCGGGCCUCAUGCCAUCAGAUGUGCCCAGAUGGGAUUAGCUAGUAGGUGGGGUAAUGGCUCACCUAGGCGACGAUCCCUAGCUGGUCUGAGAGGAUGACCAGCCACACUGGAACUGAGACACGGUCCAGACUCCUACGGGAGGCAGCAGUGGGGAAUAUUGCACAAUGGGCGCAAGCCUGAUGCAGCCAUGCCGCGUGUAUGAAGAAGGCCUUCGGGUUGUAAAGUACUUUCAGCGAGGAGGAAGGCGUUAAGGUUAAUAACCUUGGCGAUUGACGUUACUCGCAAAAGAAGCACCGGCUAACUCCGUGCCAGCAGCCGCGGUAAUACGGAGGGUGCAAGCGUUAAUCGGAAUUACUGGGCGUAAAGCGCACGCAGGCGGUCUGUCAAGUCGGAUGUGAAAUCCCCGGGCUCAACCUGGGAACUGCAUUCGAAACUGGCAGGCUAGAGUCUUGUAGAGGGGGGUAGAAUUCCAGGUGUAGCGGUGAAAUGCGUAGAGAUCUGGAGGAAUACCGGUGGCGAAGGCGGCCCCCUGGACAAAGACUGACGCUCAGGUGCGAAAGCGUGGGGAGCAAACAGGAUUAGAUACCCUGGUAGUCCACGCCGUAAACGAUGUCGACUUGGAGGUUGUGCCCUUGAGGCGUGGCUUCCGGAGCUAACGCGUUAAGUCGACCGCCUGGGGAGUACGGCCGCAAGGUUAAAACUCAAAUGAAUUGACGGGGGCCCGCACAAGCGGUGGAGCAUGUGGUUUAAUUCGAUGCAACGCGAAGAACCUUACCUACUCUUGACAUCCAGAGAACUUAGCAGAGAUGCUUUGGUGCCUUCGGGAACUCUGAGACAGGUGCUGCAUGGCUGUCGUCAGCUCGUGUUGUGAAAUGUUGGGUUAAGUCCCGCAACGAGCGCAACCCUUAUCCUUUGUUGCCAGCGAUUAGGUCGGGAACUCAAAGGAGACUGCCAGUGAUAAACUGGAGGAAGGUGGGGAUGACGUCAAGUCAUCAUGGCCCUUACGAGUAGGGCUACACACGUGCUACAAUGGCAUAUACAAAGAGAAGCGACCUCGCGAGAGCAAGCGGACCUCAUAAAGUAUGUCGUAGUCCGGAUUGGAGUCUGCAACUCGACUCCAUGAAGUCGGAAUCGCUAGUAAUCGUAGAUCAGAAUGCUACGGUGAAUACGUUCCCGGGCCUUGUACACACCGCCCGUCACACCAUGGGAGUGGGUUGCAAAAGAAGUAGGUAGCUUAACCUUCGGGAGGGCGCUUACCACUUUGUGAUUCAUGACUGGGGUGAAGUCGUAACAAGGUAACCGUAGGGGAACCUGCGGUUGGAUCACCUCCUUACCUUAAAGAA